rnacentral:rRNA from 1 species
GAUGAACGCUGGCGGCGUGCCUAAUACAUGCAAGUCGAACGCAGUGGGGACGGGUGAGUAACACGUGGGUAACCGCCGAUCAGAGGGGAUAACACUUGGAAAAAGGCGCUAAAACCGAUACGGAUGGAUGGAGCCGCGGGGCAUUAGCUAGUGGGUGGGGUAACGGCUCACCAAGGCCACGAUGCAUAGCCGGCCUGAGAGGAUGACCGGCCACACUGGAACUGAGACACGGCCCAGACUCCUACGGGAGGCAGCAGUAGGGAAUCUUCGGCAAUGGACGAAAGUCUGACCGAGCAACGCCGCGUGAGUGAAGAAGGUUUUCGGGUCGUAAAACUCUGUUAUUAGAGAAGCGUUAUCUAACCAGAAAGCCACGGCUAACUCCGUGCCAGCAGCCGCGGUAAUAC